UGUGGGAGCGAGCCUGCUCGCGAAAGCGUUGUGUCAGUCAACACUUCGACAACUGACAGAUUGCAUUCGCGAGCAGGCUCGCUCCCACA
rnacentral:antisense_RNA from 1 species